GUGUUUUUUGUUUGUUUUAGAAUUAAUACUGGCCUUAGGUGCGGGUAGUUUGCAUAAUGGUUCUGCAAAGAGACUCUCAUGCCUGAAGCUCCAAAGUCCCAG